rnacentral:rRNA from 1 species
GGAAUAUUGGUCAAUGGGCGCGAGCCUGAACCAGCCAAGUAGCGUGAAGGAUGAAGGUCCUAUGGAUUGUAAACUUCUUUUAUAGCAGAAUAAAGUGACCCACGUGUGGGUUUUUGUAUGUAUGCUAUGAAUAAGGAUCGGCUAACUCCGUGCCAGCAGCCGCGGUAAUACGGAGGAUCCGAGCGUUAUCCGGAUUUAUUGGGUUUAAAGGGUGCGUAGGCGGAAAGAUAAGUCAGCCUGUGAAAGUUUGCGGCUCAACCGUAAAAUUGCAGUUGAUACUGUUUUUCGUGAGUGUACAUAAGGCAGGCGGAAUUCGUGGUGUAGCGGUGAAAUGCUUAGAUAUCACGAAGAACUCCGAUUGCGAAGGCAGCUUACCGGGGUACAACUGACGCUGAUGCACGAAAGUGUGUGUAUCAAACA